GGUUGCAGCCAUAGCUGUCGCCGCCUGACGACGCAUCCGACACCACGACAGUGGUACACCAUGGCAUGUCACAGAGGGCGGUGUGAGGCGGCACAGGAAACCAGCAGCACACCAUCGAUAAAAACCAGAAACAACAACAACAACAACAGAGUAACAAGCAUGCAAUCGCUAAACGAUGUAUUAUGCAUGAGUAUUAGUGUGUAUACAUAUGUAUAUAUACUCAUAUCUAUGUGUGUGUUCAUACAUACAUUCAUACAUAUGUAUUAACUGCCAGCACGGAGCUUCGCGCUAGCAUAUGAACGGGGGGCGACGACGUUAUUCCCAGUUUUGCCCGAAACGGUAGUCAGGAGCAGCAGAAGCAGCAGCAAAGAAAUGGAAAACUACGAUUUAGCGAACGAGCAAACCAGUCAAACCCAAGCCAACAAAAACAGUAAAAACAACAGUAACAACAAAAAUAGCAGCAGCAAUAAUAGCAACAACAACAGGACAAUAGACGCGCAAAAUAGCAACAACGAUGUGUUGUUGAUAGAGUGGUGGCGGCGGUAUUGACGACAGUGGCGUCGACAGCAACGGUGACCGCAACGUUGACGCUAUCAAAACGAACGAUGACUACGAAGGCUAUGAUGGCGACGACGCCACGACGAUGAAGGUAGAAAAUUGAACUUUCCAUUCGGUCUGCUAGCGACGACAGCGGCAUUGAGAACUGAAACUUUUGUGUGAUCGUACCGCAUCGCGGCAGCGACGAUGAUACGGAGCGCCGAAAAUUUUAUUUAGUAAAAAGUGUUUAAUAAUAAUAUGGAGAAACAAAAAAAAAGCAAAAGUACCAGAAGCUAUAAAGUGAAAAAACAAAAAUAUUUAACUACAUAAUUAAAUAUAUCAGAAAUUCAUUCAAAAUUAGUGCACCUAAAAACUUAGUGAAAGCAAAUUAAUUAAAACAUUUAGCAAAUUGCGCGACGACGUGUUUUAUUAGUUAAAUGCGUAAAAUGAAAAAUAAUGCAGUCACAUUUUCCUGAUACCAAUUGAAAAGCCGAAAAAAAAUACAAAUAAAGCUAAACCCUAAACACUUCUCAAAAUUACACUAAAAUUAAAUUAACAAAAAAAAAACAAAAUGCUGACUUUAUAAACCAGAAAUUUUUAAUCGAUCCUAAUUUGUGGAAUAUUUACGCUAAUGUGUACACUCAAUAAAAUUGCGUGGCAGUGCGAAAUUUUAGAAGAAAAAAACAACAAAAAAUAUAAGUACAUAUGUAUGUACACGUACAUACGCUGAAAUCUAACGAAAUUCAUCCAACACAUUAAGCGAACGCCCAACAACCCUUGGCAGCCAGCCCCACCAGGCGACAAGCAGCGGCAGCAACGACGGCGACAGUACGAAACUUUCAAGCAGUUUGCAAAAUGCGUCAGCUUGUAAGGAAAUUUAAUUAGAAACUGCCAGCAAUAACACUGAACACCACAUCCCGUUUGAAAGGAAGGGGUACACACAUACGAAUGUGAGAAAGAAUGAAAAUAACUGCAGAAGAUGCAAAGACAAAAACAAAAAAAAAAAACAGCAACAUAAAUAUCACGAAUGGCAAAUCGCGUAAAUGGAAGAGGAAGCAUGGGCGGAAUAUGAAUGACGACAACAGCAUUAGAGGUUAGAGGAACUAACAAAGUCAUCAACGCCGACGUUUACCGCAAGCAGAAGCGCAGCACCACCAUUGAAUGAA